AACGCAAAUUGCGCUCUUGGGAUAGACCUAGGAGCACACCUCCAGGAGUGUCGGUAACUCACAUCGGCUUCUUCUUUCUUUCAUGCAGACAGAGAGAACUAGGCGGAGAAUGAGUGUCUAAGCUUUUAUGAGAAGCUCAGUCACUUGAAAAGCAGUGCGAACAACGACUCCCGAUUGCUUUGUGUGUAUUUGCUAAUAAGUAGUAGUAUACGAAAAGCAGACUAGUCGAUUCCCAGCGACGUGGAUGAGCUCUCUCUUGUAGGACUUCAACGUUGUCUUGGUGAUAUGGACUAGUUGGGUAUCUAGCGUUUGUUUGUCUGUAGAGCCUUAGUGUGUCUUUCAUAGAAGACUACUAUCUGGCUUUACUGGAGUCGUAUUUUAUAAUACAAGCUCGCUCUUGAAUUUAGACCUCCUGUGAAGUGGGAUUACCCCCUGAAUUUAA
rnacentral:misc_RNA from 1 species